UAAUUUUUUAUUUAUUAUUUUUUUAAUUAUUUAUUUUAUUUGUUGAAAUAUCUUAUUUUUAAUUUAGUAUAUUUAUAGAAUGAUUUAUAUUUAUAAUUAUAGUUUAUUUUACUGUAAGGGUUUAUUAAUAAUUUCUUUUAAGUAUAAAUUUUUUUAGUACCUUUUGUCUCAGGGUUUAUCAAUUUUUAUUAUAAAUUUUAAUUUUCCCGAAAUUAUGAGAGAUAAAUAAUAAUGAUACUUAUUGUUAAAUAAAUAUUUUAAAUUAUUAUUUAGGGGUUAUAUGCUAUUCAAUCUUAAAUAUCUGGUUUCUUAAUAAUUAAAUUUAAUUUAGAAUUAAUUUUGUUCUUUUAUAAUUUUAUUUUAUAGAAUUUUUUAAUUUAAUAUUAAAGGGGAUUAGCUCUUUAUUAAUUUUAUAACUUUUACUUUUUAUAUAGUUUUUAUAGGUUUAAUAAUGACUAUUAUUUAUUUUGUUAUAAUUAAUACUAUUUAUUUAUUUUAUUUUUUAUUUGUUUAGAUUUUUAUUGAGUAUUAUAAAAUAUAUUUUUAUUUUAUGUAAUAAUGAUAAAAUUAGUAGUUUUUAAAAUUAAUUAUAGUAAUUCGGCAAUUCUUAUUUUCGCCUGUUUAACAAAAACAUGUCCUAUUGUUAUUUAUAUAUUUUAGGUUUAACCUGCUCAAUGAUUUAUUAUUAAAUAGCCGCAGUAUUUUAACUGUGCAAAGGUAGCAUAAUCAUUUGUCUUUUAAUUGAAGGCUGGAAUGAAUGGUUGGACGAGAAAUAUACUUUCUUUAUUUAAUUUUAUUGAAUUUAACUUUUUAGUGAAAAGGCUAAAAUUUAUUUGUGGGACGAGAAGACCCUAUAGAAUUUUAUAAAAUUUUUAUUAAUAAUUUUUUAUUUUAAUAAUUUAUUAACUUAAUUUUUAUUUGGUUGGGGUGACUGUAAUAUUUUAAUAACUAUUAUUUUUAAUUUUUCAUUAAUUAAUGUUUUUUUGAUCCUUAAUUAUAUUGGAUUAAAAGAUUAAAUUACCUUAGGGAUAACAGCGUAAUUUCUUUGGAGAGUUCAUAUCGAUGAAGGAGUUUGCGACCUCGAUGUUGGAUUAAAAUUAUUUUUAGGUGUAGGAGCUUAAUUUUUAGGUCUGUUCGACCUUUAAUAUUUUACAUGAUCUGAGUUCAGACCGGCGUGAGCCAGGUUGGUUUCUAUCUACAAUUUUAAUUCUUUAAUAUUUUAGUACGAAAGGACCAUUUAUUAAUAAUAUUUGUUUAUUUAUGAUUUACAUUA
rnacentral:rRNA from 1 species